GGGGAUAUAGCUCAACGUUAGCGCGUUCGCAUGGCAAGUGAAAGGUUCCGGGUUCGACUCCCGGUAUUUCCA